GUUCAGAUUGCAGGCUGCAACUGCCUGCAUGAAGUCGGAAUUGCUAGUAAUCGUAGGUCAGCAUACUACGGUGAAUACGUUCCCGGGCCUUGUACACACCGCCCGUCAAACCAUGAGAGUUGGCAACACCCGAAGUCGGUAGUCUAACCGCAAGGAGGACGCCGCCGAAGGUGGGGUUGAUGAUUAGGGUUAAGUCGUAACAAGGUAAC
rnacentral:rRNA from 1 species